rnacentral:piRNA from 1 species
UNGAAUCCGAUGCCUAGCAGCCUGAAGCACCC